AGUGAACGCUGGCGGUAGGCCUAACACAUGCAAGUCGAACGGCAGCACAGUAAGAGCUUGCUCUUACGGGUGGCGAGUGGCGGACGGGUGAGGAAUACAUCGGAAUCUACUUUUUCGUGGGGGAUAACGUAGGGAAACUUACGCUAAUACCGCAUACGACCUACGGGUGAAAGCAGGGGAUCUUCGGACCUUGCGCGAUUGAAUGAGCCGAUGUCGGAUUAGCUAGUUGGCGGGGUAAAGGCCCACCAAGGCGACGAUCCGUAGCUGGUCUGAGAGGAUGAACAGCCACACUGGAACUGAGACACGGCCCAGACUCCUACGGGAGGCAGCAGUGGGGAAUAUUGGGCAAUGGGGGCAAGCCUGAUCCAGCCAUACCGCGUGGGUGAAGAAGGCCUUCGGGUUGUAAAGCCCUUUUGUUGGGAAAGAAAAGCAGCAGGUUAAUACCCCGCUGUUCUGACGGUACCCAAAGAAUAAGCACCGGCUAACUUCGUG
rnacentral:rRNA from 1 species